AAUCUGACACACCAUAGCCUGAAUUCUCACCAGUUUGCUCCUGGAAAGGCCCGCUCAUGCAUGAGCCCCUGCCACUCUUCUAAAUAAGCUUCCAGGCAUUACCUGCAUGCUGUGUUCCUGUGGUGGGAUGGCAGUAAUCUCUGCUAAGAUAAACGGGAGCUUCUGUGGAUAAAGCAUAAACGCAGUGAAGUGUGUGUGGCUGGAAGAUUUAAUGCCUCUACAGUGCUUAGAUACAAGUUGAGCUUGGAAUUCCAGAGGCACGGAAGCCAAUGACUUGGGCAAAUGCCCCUAAUUCAGGAUCAACUCAGAUGACCAGGUUUCCCCUACCUAGAGUGCUACUUAUUGCAGUGAAAACUUUUCUUCUUUCCAAAAACCUUUAAUUAAACGUUUAAUAACUCCCUGA
rnacentral:lncRNA from 1 species